rnacentral:rRNA from 1 species
AUUGAACGCUGGCGGCAGGCCUAAUACAUGCAAGUCGAACGGUAACAUAAAAGAAGCUUGCUUCUUUUGAUGACGAGUGGCGGACGGGUGAGUAAUAUUUGGGAAACUACCUGAUAGAGGGGGACAACAGUUGGAAACGACUGCUAAUACCGCAUAAAGCCUGAGGGUGAAAGCAGCAAUGCGCUAUCAGAUGUGCCCAAACGGGAUUAGCUAGUAGGUGAGGUAAAGGCUCACCUAGGCGACGAUCUCUAGCUGGUCUGAGAGGAUGAUCAGCCACAUUGGGACUGAGACACGGCCCAGACUCCUACGGGAGGCAGCAGUAGGGAAUAUUGCACAAUGGAGGAAACUCUGAUGCAGCCAUGCCGCGUGUGUGAAGAAGGCCUCGGGUUGUAAGCACUUCGGUAGGGAGGAAAGAUGACGUUACCCUCAGAAGAAGCACCGGC